GCUCUGGUGGCUCAAUCGGAUAGGGCGUUGGACUUCUAAUCCAAAGGUUGCGGGUUCAAGUCCCGCCCAGAGUA
rnacentral:tRNA from 1 species